AGUUGAUAGGCUAGUUCGCCCAUCAGGCUCGAGUCAUUAUAUUUGGUAUCAGAGCCGACCUAGCAUUUGGGCAUGGUGAGGGGGCUCGAGUAGGAAAGGGCUACCCGUAGACGGAGUCAGAGGACUCGUCACGGCGUGAAGCCACCACUGAGCUGCGCCUCACAUGCACUAUGCUAGGGCCUGAUUUGGGUUAUGUUGGGGCUUGACGAGGACGUCAAGCCUUUGAGUGGGGGUGAUUGUAACAUCCCUGAUUAGUCCCACAUCGAAAGUGGGCAAGACUAAGAUUGACUUAUAAGGGUCUGAUGAGUGUACUAUUAUCAACUUCAGCUUAAGCAUUUUGGUCAGUGGUUUAGACCAAACGAAGUUGAUAGGCUAG
rnacentral:lncRNA from 1 species